rnacentral:rRNA from 1 species
GCAUAAUAAUUAGUCUUUUAAUUGGUGACUGGAAUGAAUGAAUUUAUAAAAUUAAAGCUUUAUUUAUUUUAUUAAUAAAAUUUAAUAUAUUAGUGAAGAAGCUAAUAUUAUUUUAUAGGACAAGAAGACCCUAAUGAUUUUUAUUUUAAUAAUUUAUUUAAAUAGUAUAAUAUUUUUAUAUAAUUAAUAGAAUUUUACUGGGGCGGUAUAAUUAUAAAUAAAUAGAAAAACUUAUAUAUUAAUAAAUGAUAAUAUCUAAAUAAUGAUCCUUUAUAAUGAUUAAAAGUAAUAAAUACCAUAGGGAUAACAGGCUUAUUAAUUUAGAUAGUUUAUAUUGAAAAAUUAGU